rnacentral:rRNA from 1 species
GUCGAACGAACUCUGGUAUUGAUUGGUGCUUGCAUCAUGAUUUACAUUUGAGUGAGUGGCGAACUGGUGAGUAACACGUGGGAAACCUGCCCAGAAGCGGGGGAUAACACCUGGAAACAGAUGCUAAUACCGCAUAACAACUUGGACCGCAUGGUCCGAGUUUGAAAGAUGGCUUCGGCUAUCACUUUUGGAUGGUCCCGCGGCGUAUUAGCUAGAUGGUGGGGUAACGGCUCACCAUGGCAAUGAUACGUAGCCGACCUGAGAGGGUAAUCGGCCACAUUGGGACUGAGACACGGCCCAAACUCCUACGGGAGGCAGCAGUAGGGAAUCUUCCACAAUGGACGAAAGUCUGAUGGAGCAACGCCGCGUGAGUGAAGAAGGGUUUCGGCUCGUAAAACUCUGUUGUUAAAGAAGAACAUAUCUGAGAGUAACUGUUCAGGUAUUGACGGUAUUUAACCAGAAAGCCACGGCUAACUACGUGCCAGCAGCCGCGGUAAUACGUAGGUGGCAAGCGUUGUCCGGAUUUAUUGGGCGUAAAGCGAGCGCAGGCGGUUUUUUAAGUCUGAUGUGAAAGCCUUCGGCUCAACCGAAGAAGUGCAUCGGAAACUGGGAAACUUGAGUGCAGAAGAGGACAGUGGAACUCCAUGUGUAGCGGUGAAAUGCGUAGAUAUAUGGA